GGAAUUUUGCGCAAUGGGGGCAACCCUGACGCAGCAACGCCGCGUGCGGGACGAAGGCCUUCGGGUUGUAAACCGCUUUCAGCAGGGAAGACAUAGACGGUACCUGCAGAAGAAGCUCCGGCUAACUACGUGCCAGCAGCCGCGGUAAUACGUAGGGGGCGAGCGUUAUCCGGAUUCAUUGGGCGUAAAGCGCGCGUAGACGGCCGCCUAAGCGGAACCUCUAAUCCCGGGGCUCAACCUCGGGCCGGGUUCCGGACUGGGCGGCUCGAGUGCGGUAGAGGCAGGCGGAAUUCCCGGUGUAGCGGUGGAAUGCGCAGAUAUCGGGAAGAACACCGAUGGCGAAGGCAGCCUGCUGGGCCGCCACUGACGCUGAGGCGCGAAAGCUGGGGGAGCGAACAGGAUUAGAUACCCUGGUAGUCCCAGCCGUAAACGAUGGGCGCUAGGUGUGGGGGGACAGUCCCCCCGUGCCGCAGCCAACGCAUUAAGCGCCCCGCCUGGGGAGUACGGCCGCAAGGCUAAAACUCAAAGGAAUUGACGGGGGCCCGCACAAGCAGCGGAGCAUGUGGCUUAAUUCGAAGCAACGCGAAGAACCUUACCAGGGCUUGACAUGCGAGUGAAGCCGCGGAGACGCGGUGGCCGAGAGGAGCUCGCGCAGGUGGUGCAUGGCUGUCGUCAGCUCGUGUCGUGAGAUGUUGGGUUAAGUCCCGCAACGAGCGCAACCCCCGUCCCGUGUUGCCAGCAUUGAGUUGGGGACUCGCGGGAGACUGCCGGCGUCAAGCCGGAGGAAGGUGGGGACGACGUCAAGUCAUCAUGCCCCUUAUGCCCUGGGCUGCACACGUGCUACAAUGGCCGGUACAGAGGGUUGCCACCCCGCGAGGGGGAGCGGAUCCCUAAAAGCCAUCCCAGUUCGGAUUGCAGGCUGAAACCCGCCUGUAUGAAGUUGGAAUCGCUAGUAAUCGCGGAUCAGCAUGCCGCGGUGAAUACGUUCCCG
rnacentral:rRNA from 1 species